UAAUGACAUGCACAUAGGUUUGCCUUUCUGAAUUCUUAUGUUGAAUCUACUGUUGGUUGGCACCUGCCACUAGCAUAAAUUUCUACUCUUUCAAUCAGUGGGACAAAUUCACAUGCCAGUCGAGGCUGAUUCACCUGUUUAGGGCUGUGAGUGAUUUGAAGAGGACUACCUUCUCAGCACUUCUUUGGCCCAGAGUCACAGGAACCCUCUUCUCAAGAAUGUGGUCCUGGGACCUCUGAGAGGGUCUGGAAUUAGGGUUCAGGUACCAUCCAUCUGUUACGUGCUUUGAAGAUGCCACUCCAUCUGUGGGAUUCAAUUUACAUAAACUGAAGACUAUUCUUCUGAGUUGAAGUGAGGAGAGGCAUCAAUCACACUGGAAAAUUAUUUGAUCUCCUGGAAGCAAAAAGUCCACCAUGAAGUUGUUCUUGCCAUGGACUUCUAGAGGAGCUGACUGUCCUUUGGGAAGCUACAAAUACAGCCUUAAAAUCUGUUAGCAGGGAAGAGAGGCUUUUUCUGAGUGAUCAGGAGCAGAGAGAGGAAUGCUAUGAAGCUAUUAUUGUUCAAAAAAGACCUGGAGACAGCGGAUUGAAAAUCUCACAGCCAAAACGCAAUCUGGUGACUACCUUCUCUGGCUCUCAUUUGCUGACUUUGGAAGUUUGAAAAGGAACUGCGGAAUUUGUUUUCACUCAGCGUGGUACACUGGAUGAGCUGUUGCUGUCUCUAGUUUGUCCUCUUAAAUGUCACCUCCAGAAGCUGAUUAGAAAGGCUGAAAUGACCACCAUCCAAAAGACCCAGGGGCAUAUUUCAUGGUUUUAGUCUAUUUGAAAGGUUGUUAGAGUAGGUUAGGAAAGACCAAGGCCUCUAGCUCAAGGUGGCCAGCUCAUGCUGUGUAUGGACUGUACACUAUCAUGUUGUAGGCCACUAAUUUCUCAUGCCAAUCCCUCCAAGUGCCACUGGUUUCAUAUUUCUAGGCCUUUACAUGGCCCAUUCCUUCUGUUUGGAAAGUCCUCGAUGCUCAUUUUUACUUUGGCCCACCAAGCCCUGAGUGCACCGAUCUUUGCUUCCCUCCCCAGCAGCAUAUCACAACCUCUCUCCUUUUCUAAUUCACCUUGUUUGACACCAAGGUCUUUCUGCAGUUUUUAAAACAGACUUAGCCAUUUUCUGCUUCAGGGCCUUUGCACACCCACGUCCCUCUGUCUGGAACUCUCGUACCUGGCUUUUCACGUGGUUCAUUCCUUCUUAUUGUUCAGAAACAAUCUAAUAACCUCCUCAGCAAGGACUUUCUUGAUCUCUAACGGGCCCCCUUCUUGUUCUCCCUAUCUUAGUAUCCUUCCUAGCCCUUCACAUUUUGUAAAUAUUUGUUUACCUAUUUAUUGCCUGACUUCUAACUAACUAUAAGGGCCAGUGAGACAGGAACUGUCUUAGUCUGUUUUGUGUUGCUAUAAAAGAACACCACUGAGUGGGUAAUUUAUAAAGAAAAGAAAUGCAUUUCUUACAAUUCUGGUGGAUGAGAAGUCCAAGGUUGAGGAGUCUACAUCUGGUGAGGAUUUUCAUGCUGCGUGAUCCCAUGGCAGAAGGCAGAAGGGUAAGAGAGCAAGCAUGUGUGCACGUGAGAGGGACUAAACUUCCUUUUAGAACAAACCCACCCUGCACAAUAAUGACAUUAAUCCAUGCAUGAGGUGGAACCCUCAUGACCUAAUCACUUCUUAAAGGGCCUACCUCUCAACACUGUUGCAUUGAAAAUUAAGUUUCCAACACCUGAACUUUGGGGGUCACAAUCAAACCAUAGCAGGGACUUUUUCUGUUUCCACCAACUCUGUACUUAGAAUGCCUUAUCUCAGUAUAUGGUGCAGAGGGUACUCUUUGAAUAUUUAUUGAAUAUACGGAAGAGUGGCUAAUUUCUACUCAUCUUUUUAAAUUCCACCCUGGAGUCACUUGCCUCUUUCUAUAAAUCCUUCCCAACUUCCUCUCCCACAACUCACUUCCCGGAUCUAGGUUGGUGUCUGCCUGGGUGCUCUACUGUGUCCUGGGCCUACCUCCACAUGCUGCAUCAUGGUGCCUGUUGGCAGUCCCUUUCUUCAAGAAGAUGGUGAGCUUUGUAAAGGCAAGAUUGUAACUUUGGUUUCUAUAUUGCAGGAUCCAGAAAAAUACCUGAUAUAUAGAGAUUGCUUUCCUUGACCAAUGUUGGUAAUAUGAAUGACUGGAUGAUUAAAUAAAUGACCGUUAGGUGACAUUUCAGAGAUGUAUAGAAAAUUUGGUGUGGGGGCUACUACCAAGUUCAAAAAGAGACAGGGAUAAGUUUCAGUUCUUAUGUUUCCUGGUCCUUCAUUUUAUCUGAUGAUAUUCCAGUAAUUUAGACAGGAAGUAAUUUGGUAAAAGCCUUAAAGAUAAUUUAAACCAAGGAGUCCUGACUCUUUUAUGACUGAAAAGACCCUAUGUUUACGGGAUAUCAUGAUGUUCAAUUUCCAAACGUUGAAACACUUGAGUGGGAAUUGAGUUUCAGACACCUCUUUGGGCCUCAGUUUUUUCAUCUGUAAUCAGAAGGAUGGAUAAGAUAAUCUCUAAAGUAUGUUCCAGCUCUAACAUUUUGUUAUUAAAAAUAAAAAUCAAGGCAACUAACAUUAACCUUCCAAUGCAUUGAAAAAUUCCCAGUGACUUUAGAGCUCACUAGAGAUGCUCUAGGGAAGAAGAGAAUCCUGGCUAGGAACCUCAGCUUUGAGCAUCUCAGGUCUGCUGCUCUCCCUCAAGUUCAGAGUCACCUCCUUUCCCACAUGAAGUGCGUCUUGGUUCAAGAGAUUAUGGGGGGAAAGCAGAAUGUGAGACAAAGUGUAUUAGGAGCCAAAGAGAGAUGCUCAGGACAUGACUGUAACUCAUUGUUCCAGGGAGGAGUGAUGCUAAGGGGGCAAGAGGCAGGCAUGGCUGCUUCAGAGAGCAUGAGAGGGCUCAGAAGGAGAGAGAGAACAAAGAUGGUGGAGAAAUUGUUAUUAAAGUUCACAUGAGUUGAGAGGAAGAAACAUUGAGACAAAGGAAGAAGAGGAUAAGAAUAAAAUGUAGCAGAAAAGUUACAAGUCCAGUAGUCAAACUUUGUAUUUAGCUUAGCUUGGCCACUAAUAAUUGUGUGAACUUAAGAAAAUCUCUUGACAUCUCUGGUCCUUGAUAUCUGAAUCUGUAAAAUUGGGACAAAUAACACCCUUCCCACAACACAGACUAUUUUUCAAAUAGAAAUAAACAUAUGGAUGUGAAACUGCUUGAAAAGAAUUUUUUUAAAUAUAAUAAAUGAAACAACUAGACAGAAGAUAAGGAAAUAGGGGACUUAAACGACACAAUAAAUCAACUAGGUUUAACAUACAUGUAUAGAACACUCUAGUAAACAACAAUAGCAUUCACAUUCUUCUCAAGAACACAUGGGACAUUUUCCAAGAUAGACCAUAUGUUAGGCAGCAAACUAAUGCUCAGUAGAUUUAAGAAGAUAGAUAUUGUACAAAGUAUAUUCUCCAACCACACAGGGAUGAAGUUAGAAAUUGAUAACAGAAGUAAAACUGAAAAAUUUACAAAUUUAUAGAAAUUAAACAACACAACCUUUAACAACCAGUGGAUCAAAGAAGAAAUCAAGAGGGAAAUUAAAAAUUACUUGGAGAUGAAUGAAAAUGAAAAUAUAACAUACCAAAACUUAUGAAUGCAGCAAAAGUAAUAGUAAGGGGAAAAUUUAUAGUAUAAUUUAUUACUUUAUUUUUUAAUUUAAUUUAAUUUUUUUUUUUUGAGACUGAGUCUUGCUCUCUGUCAUCCAGGCUGGAGUGCAGUGGCAUGAUCUUGGUUCACUACAAUCUCCUCCUCCCAGAUUAAAGCAGUUCUCAUGCUUCAGCCUCAUGCUUCAGCCUCCAAGUAGCUAGAACUACAGGCAUGUACCACUACGCCCAAUUAAUUUUUGUAUUUUUAGUAGAGAUGGGGUUUCACCAUAUUGGCCAGGCUGGUCUUGAACUCUUGACCUCAAGUGAUCCUCCCACCUCAGCCUUCUAAAGUGCUGGGAUUACAAGUGUGAGCCACUGCAACUGGCCUAAUUUCCUUCUUUAAAAAACAAGAAAGAUCUCAAAUCAAUAGCGUAACAUACAACUUAAUGAACUAAAAAAAAAAAAAAUGGAAAAACAAUAAAAAAAUUAAUGAAACCAAAAGUUGAUUCUUUAAAAACAGCAAUAAAAUUGACAAACCUUUAGCUAUAUGGACUAAGAAAAAAUUACUAAAACCAGAAAUGAAUGUGUGGGCAUUACUACCAAUUCUACAGAAAUAAAAACAAUUAAAAGAGAGAACUAUGAAGAAUUACACACCACCAAACUGGAUAACCUAGAUGAAAUGGACAAUUUUCUAGAAGCACAGAAACCUACUGAGACUAAAUCAUAAAGAAAUAUAAAGUCUAAAUAGACCUAUAACGAGUAAGGAGAUUGAAUCAGUAUUCAAAAAUCUCCCAACAAAGAAAAGCACUAGACCUGAUGGAAUCACUGGUGAGUUCAACCAAACAUUUAAAGAAGAACUAAUAUCCAACGCUUCUCAAACUGUUCAAAAACUGAAGAAAAGACAACACGUCCUAACUCAUUCUAUGAGGCCAGCAUUACCCCAAUACCAAAGCUAGGUAAAGGCACUACAAGAAAAGAAAAUUACAAAUCAAUAUUUCUUAUAAACAUUGAUACAAAAAUUACCAAAAAAAAUACUAGCAAACUGAAUUCAUCAGCAUAUUAACAUGAUUAUUUAUUAUGACCAAGGGGGAUUUAUUUUUGGAAUGCAAGGAUGGUUCAACAUACAGAAUUGAUCAGUGUAAUAUACCACAUCAAAAGAAUGAAUGAAAAAAAAGAUUAUAUUAUUGAUGCAGAAAAAGCAUUUGACAAAAUUCAACACUCUCAUGAUAAAAAACACUCAACAAACUAGGAGCAGAAGUAAACUACCUCAGCAUAAUAAAAGCCAUGUGAAAGAAACCCACAGUAAACAUCAUACUUCAUGGUGAAAGACAGAAAGCUUUUCUCUAAGAUCAAGAAAAAGUCAAGGAUGUUUGCUUUUACCACUUUUAUUCAACAUAGUACUGGAAGUUCUAGCCACAGCAAUUAGGCAAGAAAGAAAUAAAAGACAUCCAAAUUGGAAAACAAAAUGUAAAACUAUUUCUGUUUGCAGAUGAUAUGAACUUGUAUGUAGAAAACACUAAAGAUCCCACAAAAAUUGUUAAAAUUAAAUGAGUUCAACAAAGUAACCAGCUAAAAAGUCAACACAGAAAAAUCAGUUGCAUUUCUAUACACUAACAAUGAACAACCUAAAAAGGGAAUUAUGAAAAAAAUUUCAUUGACUAUAGCAGCAAAAAGAAUAAAAUACUUAGUAAUUAAUUUAACCAAAGAGGUGAAAGACUCAUAUGAUUAAAACUAUAAAACAUUGCUGAGAAAAUUAAAGAAGACAUAAAUAAGUGGAAAUACAUUUCAUGUUAUUGAAUUGGAAGACUUAAUAUUGUUAAGAUGGCAAUACUACCAAAAGCAAUCUACAAAUUCAAUGCAAUCACUUUCAAAAUCCAAAAACGUUUUUUGUAGAAAUAGAAGAGCCUAUCCUAAAAUUCACAUGGAGUUUUAAGGGAUCCUGAAUAGUCAGAAUAAUCUUGAAAAAGAACAAAUCUAGAGGACUCAUAUUUCCUGAUUUCAAAAUUUACCACAAAUCUGCAGUAAUCAAAACAGUGUGGUACUGGCAUAAAGACAGACAUACAGAUCAAUGAAAUAGAAUCGUGAGCCCAGAAGUCAGUCCUCACAUAUAUGGUCAAGUGAUUUUUGACAAGGGUGACAGGAUCAUUCCAUGAAAAAGGACAGUAUUUUCAACAAAUGAUGUGGGAAAAACUGGAUAUCCACAUGCAAAAUAAUGAGGUUGAAUCCUUACCUAACACUAUAUACAAAAAUUAACUCAGAAUAGAUCAAAGAUCUUAAUAUAAGACCUAAAACUAUGAAACUCUUAUAAGAAAACAUAGGGCAAAUCCUUCCUGACUUUGGGUUUGGCACUGAAUUCUUGGAUAUGACACCAAAACACAGGCAAUAGAAGAAAAAAUUAGACAAUUGGACCUUACGAAAAUUUAAAAAUUUUGUACAUCAGAAGAUGCUAUCAACUUAGUAGAAAUGUGGUCCACAGAAUGGGAAAAAUAUUAGCGAAUAGUAUACCUGUAGAGAUUGUAUCCAGACUAUAUAGAACACUCCUAAAACUCAAUGAAAAAGCAAAUAACCAAAUUCAAAAAUGGGCAAAAGACUUUAAUAGACAUUUCUCCAAAGAAGAUAUACAAAUGGCCAAUAAGCAUAUGAAAAGAUUUUUAACAUCACUAAUCAUUAGAUAAAUGCAAAUCAACACCAUAAUAAAAUACCACCUCACCUCCUUUAGGGUGGCUACUGUUUAAAAAAAAAUCACAGAAAAUAACGUGUAUUGGUGAGAAUGUGAAGAAAUUAGAACUCUUGUGCACUGUUGUUGGGAAUGUAAAAUAGUACAGCCACUGUGCAAAACAGCAUGGCAGGUUUCCAAAAAAUUAAAAACAGAAUUUUUAUAUUACUCAGCAAUUCCAGUUCUGGAGAUAUACCCCAAAUAACUGAAAGCACGGUCUGGAAGAGAUAUUUGUACACCCGUGUUUUUGGCAGCACUAUUCACAAUAGCUAAAAUGUGGGAUCAACACAAGAGUCCAUUGAUAGAUGAAUGGAUAAGCAAAUGGUGGUAUACAAAUACAAUGGAAUAUUACUCAGCCUUAUAAAGGAAGGAGAUUCUGACAUAUGCCACAACAUGCAUGAAACUUGAGAACAUUAUGCCAAGUGAAAUAAGCAGCCACACAAAGAUAAAUACUGUAUGAUUCCACUUAUAUGAGGUAGUUAAAGUAGUCAAAAAUCAUAGACACAGGAAGUAGAAUGGUGUUUGAUGUGGACUAGGGUCGGGGGAAUGGGGCGUUAUUGUUUAAUGGAUACAGAGUUUUAGUUUUACAAGAUGUAAGAGUUAUAGAGAUGAAUGGUGGUGAUGGUUGCACAACAUUAUGAAUGUAUUCAAUAUCACUGAACUGUACAAUUAAAAAUGGUUAUGAUGGGAAAUGUUAUAUGUAUUUCAUCAUAAAAAUGUUAUGUGUAUUUAAUCAGAUAACAAUUGUAAAAAAAGUUUACUAUGUCAAUUAAUAAGUCAACAAGUUUGCAAAAAACUACUUAAGAGAGUAAAUGGUUUCCAAGAGCUCUCAAGUAUUUCAGAAAGGUACCUUUAGAUUUUGAUGGUAGAGUCACUAACUGAUUAAUAAUGUUGAUUUUUGUGCUAAUUUAAAAUUGUUCUAAAUGCUAUGUGAUGUCCUACAUUAUGUUUCAGAACAGAAAACUGAAAUGUGAAUAAAGUGUCAAGUUUAGUUAAUAGUAUUGUACUACUAGUACUAAUCAUAAUGCUGGCUUCUUAGUUUUAGCAAAUGUACCAUGGUAAUGUAGGAUGUUAACAUUUAGAAAAUCUGGAUGAAGGGUAAAAAAAAAAUGAAUAAAAGCAGAAAUGAUUGGGUCAACAGGAUUAAGAGCAGAAAGAUUUAUGGAAUAAUACAGCAAAAAAAACCUACCAAUUAAAGACAUGCUACCAGGAAUUUAUAAAUCCAAGGAAAUGGAUCAAAGAGGCCAGAUAACUGUUUUUCUCCCCAAAGGCUUGGUCAUAUUUUCCCAAUUGUUUAAAAGAGAAAAAUUAAUAAAUGUUAUCUUUAUUUUGCCCAAUGGUAACUUACAGGAACUGGAAGGGUUGGGCCAGGACAUUGGGUUGAUGGAUCAAAAUAUGCUUUGAUGGAGCUAAAUCCCAGGUCUCUCGAAAAAAGAGCAAUUUUGGAUCUGAAAGGCAGCUUUGAUGCCUUUGAAUUCCUUGCAGAUUGUGCCUUUUAGUACUCUGUACAACACCAGCUGCAUGUGG
rnacentral:lncRNA from 10 species